UCUAUUUCUCAAAAUUCCUCUCCUUCUUAAAUCUUCUCUCCAUUGUUUUUGUUUCAUUCACUCCUGGACACUUCUCAAUCUCUCUUCCCACAUGCCUUUUCAUCUCCAAAUUUCCUCUCCAGCAAACUCAUGUUUCACCCUUUAUUUUGAUGACAGUAGACAAAGAAGGUGGUGAUUGUAGCGUAUUGGAUGCUGGUGGAGAAGGACAUAGAAUAGAGUAAUUUACCUUGUAUAAUUAAUAUGAUAUUUGAUUAAUGUAUGUAAUAUGAGAACUAUGUAAAAUUAAUUCUUUUGUGAAAUGAGACUUCUCCUAAGUGUAUAUUGAAGUUGGUUUGACGAUUGUAAUAAGAGUAUUAUUUGAUAAAGGAUAAAUGUAUAGAAUAUGGAUUUAAGAUGAAAUGUAAUGACAUGUCUUGAUGAAAGAGGACUAUUGAUUAUUUC